UACAGAGGGUGCAAGCGUUAUUCGGAAUCACUGGGCGUAAAGAGUUCGUAGGCUGUUUAUUAAGUCUGCUGUGAAAGCCCCGGACCUAAUCCGGGAAGUGCAGUGGAUACUGAUAGACUAGAGUGCAGGAGGGGAGAGCGGAAUUCCAGGUGUAGAGGUGAAAUUCGUAGAUAUCUGGAGGAACAACAGAGGCGAAGGCGGCUCUCUGGACUGCAACUGACGCUGAGGAACGAAAGCAUGGGGAGCAAACAGG
rnacentral:rRNA from 1 species